GAUGAACGCUAGCGGCAGGCUUAACACAUGCAAGUCGAGGGGCAGCAUAAAUAGUAGCAAUACUAUUGGUGGCGACCGGCGGACGGGUGCGUAACGCGUAUACAACCUUCCCUAAACAGGGGGAUAAUCUGGAGAAAUUCGGUCUAAUACCCCAUAACAUCAGAGCAGGCAUCUGUUUUGGUUAAAAUUUCCGGAGGUUUAGGAUGGGUAUGCGUAGCAUUAGCUAGUUGGUGAGGUAACGGCUCACCAAGGCGACGAUGCUUAGGGGGACUGAGAGGUUAACCCCCCACACUGGUACUGGGACACGGACCAGACUCCUACGGGAGGCAGCAGUGAGGAAUAUUGGUCAAUGGGCGGAAGCCUGAACCAGCCAUGCCGCGUGCAGGAUGACGGCUCUAUGAGUUGUAAACUGCUUUUGUACGAGGGUAAAGUGGGCUACGUGUAGCCUUUUGAAAGUAUCGUACGAAUAAGGAUCGGCUAACUCCGUGCCAGCAGCCGCGGUAA
rnacentral:rRNA from 1 species